AUUGAACGCUGGCGGCAGGCUUAACACAUGCAAGUCGAACGCGUGGCGGACGGGUGAGUAAUGCUUGGGAAUCUAGCUUAUGGAGGGGGAUAACUACGGGAACCUGUAGCUAAUACCGCGUACCCUAGGAUGAGCCCAAGUGGGAUUAGGUAGUGGGGGAGGAAAAGGCUCACAAAGCCGACGAUCUCUAGCUGGUCUGAGAGGAUGACCCGGCACACUGGGACGGAGACACGGCCCAGACGCCGACGGGAGGCAUCAGGGGGUAAUAUUGCGCAAUGGGGGCAACCUGACGCAGCCAUGCCGCGUGAAUGAAGAAGGCUUUCGGGUUGUAAAGUUCUUUCGGUAGCGAGGCGUUAACUACAGAAGAAGCACAGGCUAACUCCGUGCCAGCAGCCGCGGUAAUAC
rnacentral:rRNA from 1 species